rnacentral:rRNA from 1 species
AUAUCUGAUUAGCUAGUUGGUAGGGUAAAAGCCUACCAAGGCAUCGAUCAGUAGCUGGUCUGAGAGGACGACCAGCCACACUGGAACUGAGACACGGUCCAGACUCCUACGGGAGGCAGCAGUGGGGAAUUUUGGACAAUGGGCGAAAGCCUGAUCCAGCAAUGCCGCGUGAGUGAAGAAGGCCUUCGGGUUGUAAAGCUCUUUUGUCAGGGAAGAAACGGUAAGGGCUAAUAUCCCUUGCUAAUGACGGUACCUGAAGAAUAAGCACCGGCUAACUACGUGCCAGCAGCCGCGGUAAUACGUAGGGUGCAAGCGUUAAUCGGAAUUACUGGGCGUAAAGCGUGCGCAGGCGGUUUUGUAAGUCUGAUGUGAAAUCCCCGGGCUCAACCUGGGAAUUGCAUUGGAGACUGCAAGGCUAGAAUCUGGCAGAGGGGGGUAGAAUUCCACGUGUAGCAGUGAAAUGCGUAGAUAUGUGGAGGAACACCGAUGGCGAAGGCAGCCCCCUGGGUCAAGAUUGACGCUCAUGCACGAAAGCGUGGGGAGCAAACAGGAUUAGAUACCCUGGUAGUCCACGCCCUANACGAUGUCUACUAGUUGUCGGGUCUUAAUUGACUUGGUAACGCAGCUAACGCGU